CUUUCUUUCUAUCUUUCUUUUCUUUCUCUCUCUCUCUCUUCCUUCCUUCCUUCCUUCCUUCCUUCCUUCCUUCCUUCCUUCCUUCCUUCCUUCCUUCCUUCCUUCUUUUCUUUCUUUUUCUUUUUCAACCGUGUCUCAUUCUGUUGCCCAGGUUGGACUGCUGUGGUGCAAUCUCAGCUCACUACAACCUCCACCCCCUGGGUUCAAGCAAUUCUCCUUCCUCAGCCUCCCGAGUAGCUGGGAUCACAGAUGGAUCUGAGAACGCUGUCUGGGCUUGGUGCCAAGGGCUGGUAUUUCACAGCAGCGACCGCCUCACAGACGAGCUGUGGGAAGCAGGAGGGAGACUCUCUCUUAGGGUGCCACUACUAUGGAGACACAGCUGGGCUGAACAAGAUUUGCUUCAAACAACAACAAGAGAGACAGAAAGUAUCUGGUUCAACCGCUGCCUGAGCAGGCAGGCACCAGAAGAGCUAGCAGCCAAUCCGGCCAUGCUCGAAGCCAGCUCUGCAGCUCAGCCAAUCAGUGACAUCACUGCUUUCUUUAGCUUGCCCAUGGUGAAGUGA
rnacentral:lncRNA from 1 species